rnacentral:lncRNA from 1 species
AAAUAUAAGGAACUAACUAAGAAAAGACGAGUGAAUUCGAAGUAAAAAUAUAUAUAAAUAUGAUCCGAUCAGCAAGUUAGAGUCACCUAUGGUGACCUGUACGACUACACCCAUAUCUCAUCAAUCGAUGUUAACUCAUAAGUCGAAGUCACCUAUAGUGACCUGUACGACUUACCCAUAUCUCAUCACACAUGCUAGCUCAUCACAUAUUUCAUCACAUAUGCUAGCUCAUCACAUAUCUCAUCAUUUAUGUUAGCUCAUAAGUUGGAGUCACCUCUAGUGACCUGUACGACUUAUCCAUAGCUCAAUAAGUAUACCUGCACACGAGUCGAAACCACCUAAAGUGGUAUGUACGACAGGACUGGGUGUAAAUAAAUACGCUCAAGUGCUACGAUCACGUGA